GUGCCAGCAGCCGCGGUAAUACGGAGGGUGCAAGCGUUGUCCGGAAUCACUGGGUGUAAAGGGUGUGCAGGCGGGGCAGCAAGUCGGAUGUGAAAGCCCGUGGCUCAACCACGGAAGCGCCUUCGAUACUGCUGCUCUUGAGUCCCGGAGAGGCUGUCGGAAUUCGUGGUGUAGCGGUGAAAUGCCUAGAUAUCACGAGGAACACCAGAGGCGAAAGCGGACAGCUGGACGUGUACUGUCGCUCAGGCACGAAAGCGUGGGGAGCAAACAGGAUUAGAAACCCAGUAGUCC
rnacentral:rRNA from 1 species